rnacentral:lncRNA from 1 species
CUCAGACGGCACAGAAACAUCUAGAGAUCUUCAAGUGAUUGUUGAAGGUACAGAAACUCUCUCAUCAGACUCAUUCCAGUCUCAUGUUCUCCAAAGAUCUCACUCUCAUGCAGAUGAAUCAGUUGAAUCUCUGGGAAGGUUUUUAUUCCUGAAGCACACAGUAAACACACUACAGACUCCAGUAAUAGUAUGAGUCGUGUGGAAGAACAAGAUUCUCUUGUGUUUGUCAUGUGACUGUCAUGUGUCCCUCCCUCCAGCUCCUAUUGGCUCAGUGGAAGUGUCAAUCAUCUGCUCCUCCAAUCAGAGGUCAGUGUUCUGCUCCUCUGAGGGGGAUCAGCUCCUCUACAGCUGGACUCUGAAUGGAGAUCCACUGAUGGAUGGAAACAGCAGCAUUGAGCUAAAUGAGGGAACUGAUGGAGACAUCAGCUGCAGCGUGAAGAACCACGUCAGUCACGCACAGAAGACCAUUAGACUCGAACCCUGUCCUGUGUGUUCAGUGUCUGUGGUGUUUGUGCUGGCCUGGGGUUUCCAGCUGAUGGUUCUGUUGGGUCUGUUAGGAGGUUUUCACAUCUACAUGAGACACACGUCAGGAAAGAAAGAGGAAGAUCAGAAAGUGAGAAUGAGCAGAUUUAGAGAGUGACAUGAACACACAGCAGAAGAUUCAUGAGAGCAGCAGGAGAUCUUCACAUCUGUGAGAAAUGACUUCAGAAUCUCAGCGAUUCUCAC